UUAUAUUUUACACUAUUGUAGAAAGUACAGUUUUACUGAAGCGGCCAUAGGAAGACAAAAUGAAGUUCGCAUUGUUGAUGCUGGUAUUUCUUGCCAUAGUCACAGAUGAUGUACUUUCCCAACUUUGUGGUUGUAAUCCGAUAACAGAUUUAGUUUGUUCAAGAUUUGGUGUGACUUUCGAAAAUGAAUGUUUCAUGCGAUGCAGUGGACAAGAUUUUGGUUGCCGUGGUCCUUGUCCAUGUCUAUUUUAACAUGUAUCCGAAAAAGAAGCAAGUGAGACUGUCCGCACCAAGUGAGAUUGAUAAAUAAAAUGAAAAACAAUUAA